rnacentral:lncRNA from 1 species
CCGGGUAUCACAUCAAAGUCUAAGUCUUCCUUGUUCAUCCCUGUUGGCAUUUCCCAAUCAAAUUUGUAAAGAAGAUUAGCAAGGGCAAGCUCCACAGUCACAACUCCCAUAUGUAUUCCGGGACAACCCCUUCUACCGGCACCAAAAGGUAUGAGCUUGAAGUCUAGUCCUUUAUAGUCAAUAGAGCUGCCAAUGAAUCUCUCCGGAUAGAAUUCUUCUGGAUUUUCCCAAGCUUCAGGGUCUCUUCCAAUUGCCCACGCAUUCACAUAAACUAAGGUUUUGGCAGGUAUUUCAUAUCCGCUUAUGUUGCUCUUUCGCAUUGUUUCUCGUGGCACCAACAAUGGAACUAUUGCUUGCAAUCUGAAUGUUUCUUUUAUCACAGCUUUAAGAUAAGUUAAGGCUUGAGUAUCAUCUUCAUUUACAAAAUCUUUUUUCCCCAUCAAACUUCUCACUUCCUCUUGAGCUUUCUUCAAACACCUAGGAUUUUUCAUUAGGAAGGUCAUGACCCAAAUCACACUGGCAGCGCUAGUGUCCGUUCCAGCAACAAACACAUUCUACAUAAGAGAAAGAAAAAAAGACAUGAGGUAAUAUAUAUAUAUUCCAAGAAUGUUGAAGCUAUAAAAUUAAUUAAUGAUAAUACUUAAUACUAUAAUAAAGUAAAUUUUUGAGUGAGGAUUGACCAUUAGCACAGCUUUUAUGUGAUCUAUAGUAAGAUCAAUCGCAAAUUCACGAUCCUUCCAAAUUUGUAGUAAGACAUCGAUUAUGUCUUCUUGCUCCAAUUUUGACCUAUUUGGAUCAAGAUGUUCGUCGAUGAGUUUUUGAUAGAAGGUAUCAAAUUCUUUAAAAUUUUUUUCAACACGCUUGAGCAAUCCGGAGAUUCUAUCAACCCAAUUCAUGAAAGGAAAAUAAUCAGAAAUAAAGAAUUCCACGAACAGGGCUUGGGCUUCAUUAAGCAUCUCAUGGAAUCUGCUUCUUUCAGUUCCUUCGUCUUCAUACCUCUUGCCGAAUCCUACUCUGCAAAUUAUUGUACUGGUAAGACACAUCAUUGCCUCACUCAAAUUGACAGGCUUAGAAUCAACAGAUAAUUUGGAUAUUUUUGCAAUUAGGCGAGAAACUUCAUCUUCUCGAAUGGGACGAUAGAGUUGCACCCUGUUGGAGUUAAAGAGAUGAACAACACAUAUUUUUCUGAUCUCCCUCCAAUAAGCAGUAUACGGUGAAAAAGCCAAAUCUAAACCUUUGUAAGAUAAUUUAUAUGACCCAUGUAAAGUAGGCCUACUGCAAAAGUCAAGGUCAUGUGUUUUCAUAACCUCUUUAGCCAUUUUCGCUGAAGAAACUACCAGCGUUAACCAAAAUCCGAGUCGCAAGGACAUGAGAGAGCCAUACUUUUGAGAGAGUUUCCAAAGAAAAAUAUGAGGGGCUGAGUUAUCUAGCAUCUGCAUGUGUAAGUGACCGAUCAAGGGAAGGCCUGGAGGGCCAGGGGGAAGAAGAAUACUGCCGUUUCUUCUAUGUUUUAGCAGAAUGCAUAGGAAGAGACUGGGGAGGGCUAGAACAAAGAACAACAAAACUACCAUUUUGAUAUAAUCGAUUGAUGAAGCGACUUGUGACAAUUGAGAGCAAGAGUCCCCUUAUAUACACUAAUUAGCAGACACUUCUAACUAAAAAAUUUAAUGCAAGCUGACACUUGCAUUGUUGAAUAUUGCUCCUCUUUUUUGUACCAAGAUAAAUAUAGGAAGGAAUAAAUAUUUGAAAUUGCUUCUUUAUGUCAGGAACAAUAGGCAUUUGAAGGGGAAAUUAAUAAGGAAACGUAAUGUAAUGAAGGUCCGUCAUUCUACAUUAUAGUCAGCUUGGUAACACUACUGUUUUUUUCCCUGAUCGUGAUAUAUAGUAAAAAAAAAUUUAUGAAUUAUUGUUGUUACUGCUCCAUUUGUUCUAUUUUUUAUUGAAAUGUCACGGUGAGCUGCUGUCGUUUCCAGAAAAGGCCAAACGCAAGUUAAUUUUCUCGAUUUUGUUUAGGAUUUUGAGUUCUUAGGAAGAUUUGUUUUUGAAAAGUGAUUUAUUAACCUCUUCAAUCAAAGUGCCGGCCGUUCCAAGUCUCUUUCAAUUAAAAAACGAUUUUCAAUAACAUCAAUACUUGAUUUGGAUAGUAAGUAAUAUUGUACAAUUACCAAAAGAUUUACCGCACCAUCCUACAUGCGGACGGGGUCUUAAACCCUUCAAACCUAUCAAAAGAUUUCUCUUCAGGAAUAUGCUGUUGCUUUGUUCACGGAUUAUUUGCUGUUUGUUUUGUUUUGGAAUGAACGUUGAGAUUGGUGGUUCCAGGUUGUAUGGUCAACAAAGAAAAUGUACAAAUUUCCUCACGCUUGCCAAUAAUUGGCUUAUGCUUGAUUCUCGCGUCUCUGGUAAAUAUAAUGUUAUACAGAAAUUCAUAAAGCUGGAACCAAGUGUCAAAGAAGCAGAAUGUUUAGCUUCUCCUUAACGUCACCCUCUCCAUCAGAAUCCUUCAGUCCUUCACGGCAUCAUUUGAUCUUUAGACUGGUUAGUGGUCCAUUGCAGUAGGAACCAUACGUCUUCAUUGUUGAAUUUUCGCGAUAUGGGUUCAAUAAUGAAAGGUGAAAUCUCGCAGGCCAAUCCAAGAUUUUGAUUCCUCUAUGCCUAUCCAUCUGCAUUAUUGAGAAACGAUAAAGGCCUAAAUCCAAUAAUUACCGGUUCACAUGUAGUAUGAGUUAAUUAGAUGGAGAAUUUUGAUUCGAACAUAAAUUAAAUAUUUUGAAGUAAUUUGUCUUUGAUUAAGACUAUAAUAUAUAGAGUACUCUAUUGGGCCCAAAAUGAAUCAUUAGUUACUUUCAAUAAAAAAUUAAACAGAAUCGACCUAAUUACACAAAUAUUAAAGAAGUACAAAGAAAAUGUCGCAUCUAGUAUCGUAAUUAGUGAAUUCUAUGAUUCACGUGGUUCAAGCUCUUGCUGUACGACGUACUAGUUGGAAACUAGAAAAGAAGAAGACAAGUGUUGAUGCUUUCCUGCCUAUGGAUUUGCUGCAGUGAUGUUUAAUUAUAUAUUAACAUCUAUUGUACAUGAAUCCAGCUAAUUGAAAAUGAUGUUUGUCUAUUGCUAUUCACAUGAUGUUAUAUCUAAGAUGAAUCACGACGACAAGUUUUUUCUUUCUUUAGCUUUAUUGCUAGAUGUCAUCUUUUCUGUGUUGAUUUUCAUGGUUUUUCUUUAGCAUACCAGGUAUCACAUCAAAGUCUUCUUUAUUCAUCCCGGCCGGCAUUUCCCAAUCAAAUUUGUAAAGAAGAUUGGCAAGGGCAAGCUCCAAAGUUGAUACUCCCAUAUGCAAGUGACCGAUCAAGGGAAGACCUGGCGGGCCUGGGGGAAGAAGAAUAUUGCCAUUAUUUCUUUGUUUUAAGAGAAUGAAUAGGAAGAGGGUGGGGAGGGCUAGAACGAAGAACAGCAACACUACCAUUGUGAUCUAGUGAAACAACUUGUGAAAAUUGAGGGCAAGAGUCCCCUAAUAAAGAACUAAUUAGCCAACUCUUUUGACCAAAAUUUUUUUAAUAAAAAUUAAUGAUCAGAUUCAUAUGGCUGAUAUUAAUGAUCAGAUUCAUAUGGUUGAUAUUAAUGAUCAGAUCCAUAUGGUUGAUAUUAUCUCGCCAAUCAGGGGGAGGGUUGUUCAUUAAUGGGCUCGAGCCCCACAAAUUAAGUCCAAUGCUGUCACAAAACGCUUCACCGAGAAGGAUUCCUUACGUCUCCUCGCCAUGGAAAUUGGAAGCUUUGCUAGGUAGCUAGCAGCCUAUCAGUGAUGCAUUUCUUAUUUACAUUGAAAAAAAAAACGGUUCAAAAAAUAAUUUUAUCUAAAAUUUUUUCUUCAUAUGAGAAAAAAAAAAGAGAUUUGUCAAAAAAACUUGGUUUUCUCUUGACCAUUUUGUUCUUGAAAGUAUUUAGUUUCUCAUUGGUACAAAUUUCUCUUAAUUUGUGAAUUUAAGCUGAUGUGAGUGUCAUAUAUCUUUGCUCUUUCUACUCUGAUUCAAGUGCAUCAUAGGUUUCAUACACCUUACGAUAAUAAGAAAUGUUAACGUUUAAACGGACAACAUUUGUUAUUGUAUUCGAGUAAACAUAGAAAAUUAUUUACUUUUGAUAUUUAAUUUAUGAUAUAAUGGUCAAAUAAGUCUCUAAAUUAUUUAAAAAAAUUUAAAUAAGUUUUUAUUUUUUAUUGUGUUCAAUACUUUUAUUUCAAGUCAAAUAAAUCCAUAUAACUAAUGAAUGAUUAAUUAUCAUUAGUCAAAAUGUCGUCUGUCAUUUUAUAUCCACAUGACGUUGAUGUGGAGGAUGAAAAAUACCACAUGAUCAUGUUAUCAUGGUAAAUUAACACGUCACGUCAUUAUCAAUUAUGAUAUAUCAUCAUAUCAUAUUAUUAUCAAUUAUGAUAUAUUAGCAUGCUAUAUUAGUGUCAAGUGAUAUAAAAUGAUAAAUAGUAUUUUAAUUAAGUUAAUUAUUAGUCAUAAAGUCUUAUUUAAUUUAAAAUAAAAAUACAAUGACUUAUUUAAAAUUUUCAAAAUAAUUUAAAUAUUUUUUUUGAAUAUUAUUCCUUAAUUUAUUUUAAUUUAAGCGUUUUGUUACUUUGAUUUUUGGCAACUUUAUUUAUCAGUAAAUACUAUUUCAACAAAAAAGUUAUAGAGACAAAUUUAAUUGAUUUAAAUGAGUUUCAAGUCAAUAAGUGAUGUCUCCUUGUAUUAAUUUAAGAAUUCGGAAACUUAAAAAACAUUGAAUUGAUCACUCAACUAGAAUAUCAUGGAUUACUCAAAAGAAAGUUAAAUUACAUUACAUUAAUUAAUGAUCAUUAGGUUAUCGUUUUUGAAACAAAAACAACUUAAAAAUUAACAUUAACAAACAUGGAUUUAUUAUAAAACAUACACAACAUAAAAUGUUGUUGACACUCCAAACUAGAGCAAGCUAGCAGCAAUUAAGUUACUAGGAUAACCUUACAUGCAUUAAACAUUAAUUUCUUUGGCCACAAGGCAAAGAGCAUUUUUUGUGUGUGUAGUGAUACCGGGUAUCACAUCAAAGUCUAAGUCUUCCUUGUUCAUCCCUGUUGGCAUUUCCCAAUCAAAUUUGUAAAGAAGAUUAGCAAGGGCAAGCUCCACAGUCACAACUCCCAUAUGUAUUCCGGGACAACCCCUUCUACCGGCACCAAAAGGUAUGAGCUCGAAGUCUAGUCCUUUAUAGUCAAUAGAGCUGCCAAUGAAUCUCUCCGGAUAGAAUUCUUCUGGGUUUUCCCAAGCUUCAGGGUCUCUUCCAAUUGCCCACGCAUUCACAUAAACUAAGGUUUUGGCAGGUAUUUCAUAUCCGCUUAUGUUGCUCUUUCGCAUUGUUUCUCGUGGCACCAACAAUGGAACUAUUGCUUGCAAUCUGAAUGUUUCUUUUAUCACAGCUUUAAGAUAAGUUAAGGCUUGAGUAUCAUCUUCAUUUACAAAAUCUUUUUUCC